GUGGGGAAUAUUGCGCAAUGGGGGAAACCCUGACGCAGCAAUACCGCGUGAGUGAAGAAGGUUUUCGGAUCGUAAAACUCUUUUAUUGGGGAAGAAGAAGUGACGGUACCCAAUGAAGAAGUCCCGGCUAACUACGUGCCAGCAGCCGCGGUAAUACGUAGGGGACAAGCGUUGUCCGGAAUCACUGGGCGUAAAGGGCGCGUAGGCGGGAAGGUGUGUCGACCUGUAAAUCUAUCGUUUCAAGCGGUAGGCUUGGGUUGAAACUGCCUUUCUAGAGGAUUUCAGGGGAGUUUGGAAUUUACGGUGUAGCAGUGAAAUGCGUGGAUAUCGUAAGGAAGGCUUGUGGCGAAGGCGAAACUCUGGGGAAUACCUGACGCUGAGGCGCGAAGGCUAGGUUAGCAAACGGGAUUAGAUACCCGUGUAGUCC
rnacentral:rRNA from 1 species